rnacentral:misc_RNA from 1 species
UUUCCGUAGGUGAACCUGCGGAAGGAUCAUUACUGAGACUGGGUGCUUCGGCGCCCGACCUCCAACCCUUUGUCUACCUUACCACUGUUGCCUCGGCGUUUAGGGGGGGAGACCCCCCGGCGCCGGUGGCCUUUUAUGAAACCCUUUUGAAACACAGCCUUCUGAGAAAUUAUUUAAUAACUUCAAAACUUUCAACAACGGAUCUCUUGGUUCUGGCAUCGAUGAAGAACGCAGC